GAAGGUGCACAUGGGGAAAGGAGGAAAGAAGUCUUACAUUAGCACAUCUGAAUAUUUCAAGUUUGGGGGACUUAGGGUUAAGAUUUCCCAGAUGACACACAGAUCCAUUUCCUUCUCUUGCAUCAUGCAGCCUCUAAAGUAUAUGCUUUCACCUAGAACAAGCAACUCCCUUUUUUCACUGCUUGAGAACAGAUGAUAUUUCAAAAGAGGCCUUCUGGAGCUGCAACCCACCUUUUCAAAAACCUUCCCUGAAAAGAAGACUGGAUGGAAAUUGUCGUGUCCAACAAUGACUUCCUGAAGAAGGAUAAUAUAUAACCACCUCCUUCAAGGCAGCAGAACCACUCUCUCCCCCACGGGGACUAACACCACUGUAUGGAUCUAAUCACCUCCCAAUUGUCCUUCCCAAAGCUAUGAAGGGAAUACAUUCCAAUAAAUAAAUGGCUAAAAACAAUGCUAACUAUAAUCCAGUAUAAAAUGCUGUUAUACUGAAGUUGUGUGUGUGUGGUCCCUUUGGGUUCAUACAGUACAUCUGUGGACAUGGAGGUGGUUUUGCAGUCCCAGCCUGGAAGCACAGACAGAGUUCUAAUAGGACUGCUAGAAGUGUACUUCUGCAGUAACUGC